rnacentral:rRNA from 1 species
AGCGAACGCUGGCGGCAGGCCUAACACAUGCAAGUCGAGCGGACCCUUCGGGGUUAGUGGCGGACGGGUGAGUAACACGUGGGAACGUGCCUUUAGGUUCGGAAUAGCUCCUGGAAACGGGUGGUAAUGCCGAAUGUGCCCUUCGGGGGAAAGAUUUAUCGCCUUUAGAGCGGCCCGCGUCUGAUUAGCUAGUUGGUAAGGUAAAAGCUUACCAAGGCGACGAUCAGUAGCUGGUCUGAGAGGAUGACCAGCCACAUUGGGACUGAGACACGGCCCAAACUCCUACGGGAGGCAGCAGUGGGGAAUCUUGCGCAAUGGGCGAAAGCCUGACGCAGCCAUGCCGCGUGAAUGAUGAAGGUCUUAGGAUUGUAAAAUUCUUU